UAGCUCAGUGGUAGAGCGUUUGCCUUGCAUGCAUGAGGCCCUGGGUUCGAUUCCUCAG
rnacentral:tRNA from 1 species